UCACAUAUAAAUAGAUAAUACUCGAGUCACGAUAACUACAAAAUUUGUUAUUGUAUCUUGGUCUCCCAAAGACCAUAGUACCUACAAAACUUAUUAACUAACAUAAGAAAACUGAAAGAAUAACAACGAACUAAAAGAAAAAAAGUGUACGUCAUCAUCAUUUUCUUCAAAGAAAUCAAGGUUGGGCUUGUAAACUUCAUGUUGCAAGAGCAAAGCCCACAACAGCAGCAACACAAAAAGUGAGGAUUCACAUCAAGGUGUUAAAGUCUACACAGUCACUUCAGGACUUCUAUAAUAUUCAUAGCUAAGAGCUUUUUAGCUUCAAGCAAUGGAAUUAAAAGCUGCACAACUUUGCGAUUUUAACCACUCGGUUAAUCUUAUCAAAGAUGUGAGCGCUUCGUCGUGUGCUUUGGUUCAUAACUCAGAGAACUUAAAUAGAAUAACAACCUCAAAUGUCUUGUCGCAAGCAUUUGCACUUUCCAAAGCAGCAACACAUAUUAGAGCAACCCAAAGCAGCAACACAUGGGCAUAAAGAACUAAAAUGGAGAUAUAAAUUUGAGUACAUGUGGGAUUAGUCAAAUGCUCCAUAGAGGUUCGUGCACCCAUGAUUGUUUUUUUUUAUUAAAAUUAAUUAUUUUUAAAAAAAAAUAAAAAAAUAAACCAGUAAUGAAGGCAUAAAAUUUGAAUACGGUAUAGUCAAAAUAUAAUUUUAGGAUUUAAUGACCCAAAAAAACUAUUGAACUCUUGUCAAGUUAUCAAAAAAAAACAUACAACUAUUUUCUUGCAACAAAAAUCAUGAAAUUUUAAAAACUAUAAAAAAUGACCAAAACUUGACCAUAUGAGCUUACUGUUGACUCAAAUUUCAAGCAUUUUUGACAGUUUCUGAAAGUCCAGUGGUGGAGUUCAUUACCUCUCCUUCACCUGCACUUUAGUUGCCAGCUACCUCAUCACCAAGAACACGUCCAUGCUCAAUUUUGGAAGAAGCUAAAGAACAACUCGUUUGUGAAGUAUAUAAAAC
rnacentral:lncRNA from 1 species